GAAAUAUCACCAAGAAGAAACUUCUAAUUUCAAUCUUUAGCGAUUUAAACGUUAAUAUUUCU
rnacentral:tRNA from 1 species